UCCGCGGAGGUAUACAUGGGUGGUUGUGUUGUCAUAGGGGUUGGCUGCAUUAGUUGUAACGGUUCGGUUUCAUAUUUCUCCUUCCACAUGGGAUCCUAUUGGUGUUUCCUGCUAGAAAUUUUACAUUACUAGGGUUAAAUGUGCACCAGUAUGUGUUAUGCCACUGUAGUGUGCUAUUCAUAAGUCCAUGCUUUUUGGCAAGUAACAGUGGGGGCACACAACUGGAAUUGACUGUGGCAGCAUCUCUCUUGAGUUGCGGUGUGUGUGUGGGGUCGCGUGCAGUUACUUUGCUAAUGUAACACGUGCAUGCAAAACAUUUGGCGAUGCUAAGCGCCGCUGUCCAUUGGUGUGGCUGUUGGAGUGUGGGGGUAGAUGUGGGCCACUCUGCGAUAAAGAGAGACAAAGAGAAUGAGAGCAUCUGGUUGGCGGGGCCGGGAGAGAGGGUGAUUAGGAGUAGCACAGGGAGGAAGGGAAGCCAGCAGAAGAUAAAACAUGAGACCUCUGGGAUUCGAGGCAACUGCGAAAUUAAUCAGAAAAUACAUCCAGUGUUGCAGUGCUCGGAUCCUUGAACAAAGUACAGAGGGAGGUGGGAGGGUAGAUAGCUUGGCAUUGUCAUGUCACAAAGAACAAUAGUGGCAUACAGGGUACCUCCAUUGUCCUGGUAGGUGUACCUACGCUUUCCUAAAAUGUCCAUGCUGUUCCGCGGUCGCAAUAACUUUUCCUGUAGACUUAUGCUUUUCGACAAAUUGCAGGGGUGCUAAUUUUGCCACCUGCAGUUUUGCGACUGAGACCCAGAGUAAGGUUAGUGGGUGCUGGAGUGAAAUGAUUAUGUAUGUUACUUGUCCAGAAGGGUGCCAGGCCAUCUCUUGCAUCUAAUAAUUGAUGUGGGGUGGGUCGUCGGCUCCAGUGUGGUCCACUAAGCUCGGCAGUUGCGACUGAACUACUGCAUAACUAGCUAAUACUCUGCUGCACAUUCCCUGCUCAGCAUUAUGUGCUGAUCUCUAGAUAAAAAAGGUACUCUAGUGAAACUUGGUUAAAGAUUUUAAAACAUUUUCCGUCGUCCGGGGUCUCGGGCUCGAGUCCCGGUGCGACUCCUAGUGGGAAUGGCUGUUGUCGAUGUAGUGUUUCCGGGUAAGCGCCAGACUAGCUCUGUUUCUAGUCGAUAGGUGGGUCGUGGGAUCGAUUGCCCUGCGUGGCCCACUAGGAUCGUCGGCGGUGUUGCGUGGGAUAUGAGGAGUUCCCUACUUGGUAGGUGGUUGGGAGUCGUAUGGUUAAUUGAUUAGGCGCUGAAGUAGUGCAACAAAUGGGACAGCCGAAGAUUCACCCCCUUAGAUCGACAUGCCCUUCGGGCUGGUUCGUAAAUGUUCGGGUUUGUUUUUAUAUUUUUUUUUAUCUGUACGUUCAAAACAAACAUUGCAUCAUUGACAAAGUAUUGUAGACUAAUGUUAUUUUAUAUUUUUUAAGAGUAAAACGCAUGUACACUAAUAUUGCCCUGUUACUAAUUAUGAGAUUUUCAGGCUUGUGGAGAACAGCUUUUUUUUAUCUACUCUUUGGCUGGCCAAUGUAAAUAAGCAAUUAUUUCAUGAAUGCAGGAAGAGAGUUUAUUUGAUGUAUUUUAAAAUCACUGAUAAUAUUUAUUGGUGUAUUUUAAAAUCACUGAUAAUAUUUAUUGGUGUAUUUUAAAAUCACUGAUAAUAUUUAUUGGUGUAUUUUAAAAUUGCUGAUAAUAUUUGUUUUGUGGCUGGAAUGGUGACUUGUGAAUUUUUAUUAAGGAUUAAUAAAAAGCAGUAAAAAUUA